UGGAAGGAGAGUGGGUCAGUGCCCUCUCUGCAGAGCAGCAUCCCCUCUCCAGCCACCUCUUGUGCUGCAGUCCACCUCCAAUAUGUGCCACCAUGCCUGUGGAGAUGUCCCAGCUCCUCUGAUUCCAAUAAAUGCACUGCAGGAAUGAUGGCAGCCUCCACCUCUCCCUGACUUUCAUGUCUUCUGAAUAAACCAGAGAAGAUGGGUUCAGACUGGUAGCAGGUCAGCCCUGCUGCUUCUUCACCUCUCCCUCCAUGAGCCUGGCAACAAAACCAGAUCCUAGCAGUAAAACCAGGUC